GACGAACGCUGGCGGCGUGCCUAAUACAUGCAAGUCGAGCGAAUGGAUUGAGAGCUUGCUCUUAUGAAGUUAGCGGCGGACGGGUGAGUAACACGUGGGUAACCUGCCCAUAAGACUGGGAUAACUCCGGGAAACCGGGGCUAAUACCGGAUAACAUUUUGAACCGCAUGGUUCGAAAUUGAAAGGCGGCUUCGGCUGUCACUUAUGGAUGGACCCGCGUCGCAUUAGCUAGUUGGUGAGGUAACGGCUCACCAAGGCAACGAUGCGUAGCCGACCUGAGAGGGUGAUCGGCCACACUGGGACUGAGACACGGCCCAGACUCCUACGGGAGGCAGCAGUAAGGAAUCUUCCGCAAUGGACGAAAGUCUGACGGAGCAACGCCGCGUGAGUGAUGAAGGCUUUCGGGUCGUAAAACUCUGUUGUUAGGGAAGAACAAGUGCUAGUUGAAUAAGCUGGCACCUUGACGGUACCUAACCAGAAAGCCACGGCUAACUACGUGCCAGCCGCCGCAGUAA
rnacentral:rRNA from 1 species